UUUUAUUUCACAGAUAACUGAGAACUGGAUGUCUGACGCAUGAGUAUCUCUACCUCCAUCACCAAAACCAAAACCCAAGAUCACUUUAGCUCGUCGGCUGGGCUUGAAGGUGAGCGCCACCUGCUGACCACAGUUAUACACACAGUUUGCUGGAUAAGGCUGCUGAAUACAGCACUGGACAUGCUGAUAGUAGAGAAGCAAGAUAAAGAGAAGGAGAGGGAGCAAGUGUUCAGUGAGAGAGUUCCUCCGCUCAAUUUUUCCGGCCUGUCAGUACAGGAAUUACA